AAAGUAUACUGACAAGCAAACAAUAUCCUUGCUGCCAUCAUCCAUGCUAUCCUUUGAGGGUGAAUUUGCAGAGCUGACCUUUCUGAAAUUAAAUGAAAACCACAUCAGGAUCCUGCUUCAUUCUUUCUAUCAGCAGACAUGGAGGAGAAGGAACAUAGUCUUUUCAUCAUAAAGAUGAUGGAAGCCCAGAAAUCUGGAAAGUGAGCUUGGAAUUCAUGUUGGAACUUAAAACAAAUAAGCUUUAUAAAAAGAACUUGGGAAGAUUUUGAACUGGGCCAUUUUAAUAAGUGGGCACUGUUGCUAGUUACACAUGCACAUGUGCAUAAACAUAUAUA
rnacentral:lncRNA from 1 species